CUUACUUAAUUCAAAAGUUUGAAAAAAGAAAUCGUUCUGAGGAGGGCCCAUAUCCGGGUCGAAACGUUAACUAAAAAUACGUUUUCUUAAUUGACCGAUCACCAAGACUCUAUAAUAUAUUUUAUUUAAUGUCAUUUAACACAUGAAAUAUUCACAAUUUAAUGACAUUAAAGUGGUGUCAUGAGAAAAAAAAUCAUCCGUUGGAAGGUUCUAGAUUUUUACAGCAUUUAUUUGUCAAACUUCGAACCGAACUGAGUACUUCAUUUUAAUGAAAUUUUAUUGUCAGACCUCUCGUUUUUGCGCUCCAUCAUAGUGAAGCUAAUAUAGUCAGGAAAAAAAGCGUGAGAUGAAACAAUGCAAGUUAAUUUAUUUGCCAAGUACAAACUAUGUAAUUAUUGUUGAUGAAGCAAGUCUUAUAAAAAUGUGACUUUUUAUUUUAUUGAUGGUUCUGCUU
rnacentral:lncRNA from 1 species